GACGAACGCUGGCGGCGCGCCUAACACAUGCAAGUCGAACGAGAGAUGAGGAGCUUGCUCUUCAAAUCGAGUGGCGAACGGGUGAGUAACGCGUGAGGAACCUGCCUCAAAGAGGGGGACAACAGUUGGAAACGACUGCUAAUACCGCAUAAGCCCACGGCUCGGCAUCGAGCAGAGGGAAAAGGAGCAAUCCGCUUUGAGAUGGCCUCGCGUCCGAUUAGCUAGUUGGUGAGGUAACGGCCCACCAAGGCGACGAUCGGUAGCCGGACUGAGAGGUUGAACGGCCACAUUGGGACUGAGACACGGCCCAGACUCCUACGGGAGGCAGCAGUGGGGAAUACUGCACAAUGGGGGAAACCCUGAUGCAGCGACGCCGCGUGGAGGAAGAAGGUCUUCGGAUUGUAAACUCCUGUUGUUGAGGAAGAUAAUGACGGUACUCAACAAGGAAGUGACGGCUAACUACGUGCCAGCAGCCGCGGUAAAACGUAGGUCACAAGCGUUGUCCGGAAUUACUGGGUGUAAAGGGAGCGCAGGCGGGAGAACAAGUUGGAAGUGAAAUCCAUGGGCUCAACCCAUGAACUGCUUUCAAAACUGUUUUUCUUGAGUAGUGCAGAGGUAGGCGGAAUUCCCGGUGUAGCGGUGGAAUGCGUAGAUAUCGGGAGGAACACCAGUGGCGAAGGCGGCCUACUGGGCACCAACUGACGCUGAGGCUCGAAAGUGUGGGUAGCAAACAGGAUUAGAUACCCUGGUAGUCCACACCGUAAACGAUGAUUACUAGGUGUUGGAGGAUUGACCCCUUCAGUGCCGCAGUUAACACAAUAAGUAAUCCACCUGGGGAGUACGACCGCAAGGUUGAAACUCAAAGGAAUUGACGGGGGCCCGCACAAGCAGUGGAGUAUGUGGUUUAAUUCGACGCAACGCGAAGAACCUUACCAAGUCUUGACAUCCUGCGACGCACAUAGAAAUAUGUGUUUCCUUCGGGACGCAGAGACAGGUGGUGCAUGGUUGUCGUCAGCUCGUGUCGUGAGAUGUUGGGUUAAGUCCCGCAACGAGCGCAACCCUUAUGGUCAGUUACUACGCAAGAGGACUCUGGCCAGACUGCCGUUGACAAAACGGAGGAAGGUGGGGAUGACGUCAAAUCAUCAUGCCCUUUAUGACUUGGGCUACACACGUACUACAAUGGCGUUAAACAAAGAGAAGCAAGACCGCGAGGUGGAGCAAAACUCAGAAACAACGUCCUAGUUCGGACUGCAGGCUGCAACUCGCCUGCACGAAGUCGGAAUUGCUAGUAAUCGUGGAUCAGCAUGCCACGGUGAAUACGUUCCCGGGCCUUGUACU
rnacentral:rRNA from 1 species